rnacentral:rRNA from 1 species
UACGGAGGGUGCAAGCGUUAAUCGGAAUUACUGGGCGUAAAGCGUGCGUAGGCGGAUUAUUAAGUCAGAUGUGAAAUCCCGGGGCUCAACCUCGGAACUGCAUUUGAAACUGGUAAACUAGAGUAUGGUAGAGGAAAGUGGAAUUUCUGGUGUAGCGGUGAAAUGCGUAGAGAUUGGAAGGAACAUCAGUGGCGAAGGCGGCCACCUGGACAAAUACUGACGCUGAGGCACGAAAGCGUGGGGAGCGAACAGG